UACGGGGGGGGCAAGCGUUGUUCGGAAUUACUGGGCGUAAAGGGCUCGUAGGCGGCCAACUAAGUCAGACGUGAAAUCCCUCGGCUUAACCGGGGAACUGCAUCUGAUACUGGAUGGCUUGAGAUUGGGAGAGGGAUGCGGAAUUCCAGGUGUAGCGGUGAAAUGCGUAGAUAUCUGGAGGAACACCGGUGGCGAAGGCGGGACUCUGGGCCGAUACUGACGCUGAGGAGCGAAAGCGUGGGGAGCAAACAGG
rnacentral:rRNA from 1 species